rnacentral:rRNA from 1 species
GGUGGUAGUAGCAAAUAUUCAAAUGCGAMCUUUGAAGACUGAAGUGGAGAAAGGUCCCGUGUGAUCAGUAAUUGGACACGGGUGAGUCGAUCCUAAGAGAUAGGAUAAUUCCGUUUGAAAGCUGGGCUGUUUGGGGCGUGGGGUUCUUCCUUACGUUUUGUAUGCAGCCUCGUAUAUCGAAAGGGAAUCAGGUUAAUAUUCCUGAACCGAGACGUGGAUAAUAUGUGGUAACACAACCGACCCAGGAGACGUUAGCGUGUGCCCAGGGAAGAGUUCUCUUUUCUUUUUAACAAGCAUGUCCUGCCUUGGAAACGGAUUAUCCGGCGAUAAGGAGGAAGCCUUGGCAAAGCAUUUCAAUUUUCGAAGUGUCCUGUGCGCGCACGAUAACCCUUGAAAAUCCUGGCUAGAGAUUUAUUCGCACCCUCGUUCGUACUCAUAACCGCAUCAGGUCUCCAAGGUUASCAGCCUCUAGYUGAUAGAACAAUGUAKAUAAGRUAAGUCGRCAUAAUMRAUCCGUAWCUUCGGGAAAAGGAUUGGCUYUGAGGGUUGGGCCUAGGGGUCAUUUUGGGGAGCUUGUGGCGGCAGUACAUUGGSUCUGCGUCYGGACCUUUCGGGGAUCGAAUUCGGCCUGGUGGUAGAGCGUGCUCUYCCUGUACUAGASAAAAAGSUGAYUGRWAUSGGGUUCGUCGCUGCUUCCUUAGUGCGUUGAACARCCRGCUCAGAACUGGARCGGACAAGGGGAAUCCGACUGU